rnacentral:rRNA from 1 species
GGGAAUUCGAUUAGAGUUUGAUCAUGGCUCAGAUUGAACGCUGGCGGCAUGCCUUACACAUGCAAGUCGAACGGCAGCAUGAUCUAGCUUGCUAGAUUGAUGGCGAGUGGCGAACGGGUGAGUAAUACAUCGGAACGUGCCCUGUAGUGGGGGAUAACUAGUCGAAGGAUUAGCUAAUACCGCAUACGACCUGAGGGUGAAAGUGGGGGACCGCAAGGCCUCAUGCUAUAGGAGCGGCCGAUGUCUGAUUAGCUAGUUGGUGAGGUAAAGGCUCACCAAGGCGACGAUCAGUAGCUGGUCUGAGAGGACGAUCAGCCACACUGGGACUGAGACACGGCCCAGACUCCUACGGGAGGCAGCAGUGGGGAAUUUUGGACAAUGGGGGCAACCCUGAUCCAGCAAUGCCGCGUGUGUGAAGAAGGCCUUCGGGUUGUAAAGCACUUUUGUCCGGAAAGAAAUCGCACUUACUAAUAUUAGGUGUGGAUGACGGUACCGGAAGAAUAAGGACCGGCUAACUACGUGCCAGCAGCCGCGGUAAUACGUAGGAUCCAAGCGUUAAUCGGAAUUACUGGGCGUAAAGCGUGCGCAGGCGGUUGUGCAAGACCGAUGUGAAAUCCCCGGGCUUAACCUGGGAAUUGCAUUGGUGACUGCACGGCUAGAGUGUGUCAGAGGGGGGUAGAAUUCCACGUGUAGCAGUGAAAUGCGUAGAGAUGUGGAGGAAUACCGAUGGCGAAGGCAGCCCCCUGGGAUAACACUGACGCUCAUGCACGAAAGCGUGGGGAGCAAACAGGAUUAGAUACCCUGGUAGUCCACGCCCUAAACGAUGUCAACUAGUUGUUGGGGAUUCAUUUCCUUAGUAACGUAGCUAACGCGUGAAGUUGACCGCCUGGGGAGUACGGUCGCAAGAUUAAAACUCAAAGGAAUUGACGGGGACCCGCACAAGCGGUGGAUGAUGUGGAUUAAUUCGAUGCAACGCGAAAAACCUUACCUACCCUUGACAUGCCACUAACGAAGCAGUGAUGCAUUAGGUGCUCGAAAGAGAAAGUGGACACAGGUGCUGCAUGGCUGUCGUCAGCUCGUGUCGUGAGAUGUUGGGUUAAGUCCCGCAACGAGCGCAACCCUUGUCUCUAGUUGCUACGAAAGGGCACUCUAGAGAGACUGCCGGUGACAAACCGGAGGAAGGUGGGGAUGACGUCAAGUCCUCAUGGCCCUUAUGGGUAGGGCUUCACACGUCAUACAAUGGUGCAUACAGAGGGUUGCCAAGCCGCGAGGUGGAGCUAAUCCCAGAAAAUGCAUCGUAGUCCGGAUCGUAGUCUGCAACUCGACUACGUGAAGCUGGAAUCGCUAGUAAUCGCGGAUCAGCAUGCCGCGGUGAA